rnacentral:rRNA from 1 species
UGACCUCUGACCUCAAAUCAGGUAUGACUACCCGCUGAACUUAAGCAUAUCAAUGAGCGGAG